rnacentral:rRNA from 1 species
GAAGAAUCCAGAGAUGGAUUUGUGCCUUCGGGAACCGUGAGACAGGUGCUGCAUGGCUGUCGUCAGCUCGUGUUGUGAAAUGUUGGGUUAAGUCCCGCAACGAGCGCAACCCUUAUCCUUUGUUGCCAGCGGUCCGGCCGGGAACUCAAAGGAGACUGCCAGUGAUAAACUGGAGGAAGGUGGGGAUGACGUCAAGUCAUCAUGGCCCUUACGACCAGGGCUACACACGUGCUACAAUGGCGCAUACAAAGAGAAGCGACCUCGCGAGAGCAAGCGGACCUCAUAAAGUGCGUCGUAGUCCGGAUUGGAGUCUGCAACUCGACUCCAUGAAGUCGGAAUCGCUAGUAAUCGUGGAUCAGAAUGCCACGGUGAAUACGUUCCCGGGCCUUGUACACACCGCCCGUCACACCAUGGGAGUGGGUUGCAAAAGAAGUAGGUAGCUUAACCUUCGGGAGGGCGCUUACCACUUUGUGAUUCAUGACUGGGGUGAAGUCGUAACAAGGUAACCGUAGGGGAACCUGC